AAACGUCGAGUUUCCUUAUCUCCUCCUCUUUUUAUGUUCUAGAUGGCAGACCUUACCGAAGAGGAGUUAGCGGAGUGCUUGACGGGGUAUGACGAGCCCGAGGAUCUCACCGCCCGAUCACAGUGGAUGAACUAUACUUCGUUCAUCCCUCAAUUAUUUGGGGCUAUGCCUUUAGGCAACGACGCCAUAGCUCAGGUAUUUUCUACAUUUACUUAGAAUUCCACUUUUGUUGU
rnacentral:lncRNA from 1 species